rnacentral:rRNA from 1 species
GGACGGGUGAGUAACGCGUGGGUGACCUGCCCCAUACCGGGGGAUAACAGCUGGAAACGGCUGCUAAUACCGCAUAAGCGCACAGAGCUGCAUGGCUCGGUGUGAAAAACUCCGGUGGUAUGGGAUGGGCCCGCGUCUGAUUAGGCAGUUGGCGGGGUAACGGCCCACCAAACCGACGAUCAGUAGCCGGCCUGAGAGGGCGACCGGCCACAUUGGGACUGAGACACGGCCCAAACUCCUACGGGAGGCAGCAGUGGGGAAUAUUGCACAAUGGGGGAAACCCUGAUGCAGCGACGCCGCGUGAGCGAAGAAGUAUUUCGGUAUGUAAAGCUCUAUCAGCAGGGAAGAUAAUGACGGUACCUGACUAAGAAGCCCCGGCUAACUACGUGCCAGCAGCCGCGGUAAUACGUAGGGGGCAAGCGUUAUCCGGAUUUACUGGGUGU